AGUGAACGCUGGCGGUAGGCCUAACACAUGCAAGUCGAACGGCAGCACAGUAAGAGCUUGCUCUUACGGGUGGCGAGUGGCGGACGGGUGAGGAAUACAUCGGAAUCUACUUUUUCGUGGGGGAUAACGUAGGGAAACUUACGCUAAUACCGCAUACGACCUACGGGUGAAAGCAGGGGAUCUUCGGACCUUGCGCGAUUGAAUGAGCCGAUGUCGGAUUAGCUAGUUGGCGGGGUAAAGGCCCACCAAGGCGACGAUCUGUAGCUGGUCUGAGAGGAUGAUCAGCCACACUGGAACUGAGACACGGUCCAGACUCCGACGGGAGGCAGCAGUGGGGGAUAUUGGACAAUGGGCGCAAGCCUGAUCCAGCCAUACCGCGUGGGUGAAGAAGGCCUUCGGGUUGUAAAGCCCUUUUGUUGGGAAAGAAAAGCAGCAGGUUAAUACCCCGCUGUUCUGACGGUACCCAAAGAAUAAGCACCGGCUAACUUCGUG
rnacentral:rRNA from 1 species